rnacentral:tRNA from 1 species
ACGUCGCCUGGUGGAAGGACCGCCUGUCCGGCUUCGAGCCGCUCGAGCUACCGACCGAUCGUCCGCGACCCGCAGUUCGUGACUACGACGGCGCA